rnacentral:lncRNA from 1 species
GCCAGAAGUUUCUAAUGGACUUCAGUUGUCAAACGUCAGAGAAGAAAAGAAUUAGGGGACUGUUGUCCCUGCUUAAUAAAUGGGUACCAAGUGUAAAGAUAACUUUUGUCAUAAGCAAAUGCCCCGGAAAGUCCUCUGUUGUAGAGGAAGCUUCAAUAACCAGGCCAACGAGCUCCUCACCGGGCUGUGAGGGACAUCACCUAGACAAAUAACAGAAUAUGGGGAGCUACCCCUGUCCGAGGUCAGGGGUGGCGGCCGAGAGGAACAACCCACAUUUAAGGAGCGGUGGCUGCGUGGGCGCAGAAGGGCCGAGAGGAGCUACCCCACAUUCAGGAGGGGUGACCUCGUCCAAGGAAAGAAGCAGUGGCUGCGCUUUGCUGGAGCAGCUGUGAAGAAACCCCAAGUCCAAGGUAAGAGAAACCCAAGUAAGGCGGUAGGUCUUGCGAGAGGGCAUCAGAGGGCAGACAACUGA